GUAUUUGCUGGCCCUCCAGACUGUGACAAAGCAAGCGAGUUUCUAACGCCCCAGGUUGUUCUGAUGGCGGACAUAAACUCGCCAAAGUAAAACUUCCCGGUAGACGGAGUAAAGCCGUGAUUGGUGGAUGAGGCCCCAAAGGUCGGUACGGUCAUACGGAAGUGGUAAAAGCCAUAGUGAUCACAAACACUAUUGUUUGGCCCUGUCGGCUACGCAGGGGCGAGCACUUGAAUGUGACACAGAUGAUAAGGAAUCUUCUGAUUUCGAACAUUAAGGAAGAAUUCGAUCCAGCGGAGAGCUGGUGAUCAACUUUGGGCAUCCGCAUUUCACCAUUUUGAAGCGCAAUUUGAAGGAGCAUUUUCAGAACUACCCGGUCUCAAAGGCGAUCCCAUUUAGCGAGUAUCGCAUUUAAGUGUCCAUGGUUGAGCGGACCAGCUGGUCUAAAGUGCUAUAGCUUCAGCAUGGUGCUGUGAUUCUGCGAACUCAGUGGUCUUGUCAGAAAAACUAGCGGAGAUGGGUAGAUGUAAAUUUAUAGACAUUUUGGAAAUGGACGAGGAGGCAGAUGAACCGAAUCUUAUUGAUACCGGAGCAAGGGGUGUCUCACCGCUAUUAAUGAUAGCGAAUAUCAAUCGAAAUAAAGUCGAUUGAAGCGAAUGGCAUUGAUUCCUAACAUACGAUACUAUUCGAUCAGUAUUGCAACGCACCUAAUUCGUUUUGACAGAACUGUUUCCCUCCAUUGAACUGCUUUCUGGGACUGGAAAUAUUCUCAACAAACUGUAAUUUCAGGAUGCAGUUUCUGUACCUGUAACUGUAGGUGUUAAGAUGUUCUGAAUAAACGGACUGUCAAUCUUUGUACAAGGGCGGUAAACGUAUUUAAGAAGUAAAGAUUAACGGUACGAAAUAUUUUUGAAAAAAGCAGCACUCAAAUGUGUUCGAAAUUUUAUGGUGCUCAAAAAUAAACAAAAUAAAUUAAGUCUAAAAACAUCAUUAAUCUCGCU